ensembl:lncRNA
GAUGGAGAGGAAGGAGAGGAGAAUGUGGGAUGGAGGGAGAGGAAGGAGAGGAGAACGUGGGAUGGAGAGGAAGGAGAGGAGAACAUGGGAUGGAGAGGGAGAGGACGGAGAGGAGAACGUGGAUGGAGAGGAAGGAGAGGAGAAUGUGGGAUGGAGAGGAGAAUGUGGGAUGGAGAGGGAGAGGAAGGAGAGGAGAAUGUGGGAUGGAGAGGAAGGAGAGGAGAAUGUGGGAUGGAGAGGGAGAGGAAGGAGAGGAGAAUGUGGGAUGGAGAGGAAGAGAAAGGAGAGGAGAAUGUGGGAUGGAGAGGAAGGAGAGGAGAAUGUGGGAUGGAGAGGAAGAGAAAGGAGAGGAGAAUGUGGGAUGGAGAGGGAGAGAAAGGAGAGGAGAAUGUGGGAUGGAGAGGGAUAGAGAGCAGUUGCUUUGUGAGGAAUCUCUACCUGAAAAUACCUGAUCUAAGUGAUUGAUAGUUGGUAAACAUCAAUCCUAAAAUUAGACCUUACUUACUUUGAAGAACUACUGAAACAGUGAUGUUGUCAGACAGCGGCUCUGUUGUGAUGAGACAACGACUUGGAAUUAAAUAAUAAAAUGUAAUGUAAUAAACACAACAACUGGAAUAUGUUCUUGAAGUUAAGUCAUGUGAAUAAGUGAUGGUUAAUUGAUGAUCAGCAGUAAUGAACAGUCACUUCCAUCAUGGGACAUUUAUUCAGUGUUUUAUUCUGUGUUACAGUGCUUCAAUCCACAUAAUGCAUUUGUGCAUUUAAUGUAAAAAAUAAAUAAAUAAAUAAACUAACCUGGAAAUCGAAAACCGUUAUUAUUUUUGAAUAAUCGAACCGAAACGGACGUCAAAAAGCUCAGGACUAGCACCGGAUAAAACCAGGUAAUGAAUUCAGCAGCACAAGCAGAUGCCAAUCACAUGGAUGUUAUAAGCAAUUAGUAAAUGUUUACCUCUGCUAAUCCCGGAAUAGUUGUCCUCGGCAAAGGAUUUCUAUACGUAGCAAGAAAAGUUGAUAUGAGAGGACACGAUGUUGAGUCAGUAGUGGUGUGGAGGUGUGGGUCAGUAGUGGUGUGGAGGUGUGGGUCAGUAGUGGUGUGGAGGUGUGGGUCAGUAGUGUUACGGAGGUGUGGGUCAGUAGUGUUGUGGGUCAGUAGUGUUGUGGAGGUGUGGGUCAGUAGUGUUGUGGGUCAGUAGUGUUGUGGAGGUGUGGGUCAGUAGUGUUGUGGAGGUGUGGGUCAGUAGUGUUGUGGAGGUGUGGGUCAGUAGUGUUGUGGAGGUGUGGGUCAGUAGUG